CUUUUUUAUGUUUUGGUUCAUUGUAGCCCUGAGAUUGACUGGCGACCUGUCCAGGGUGUACAGACCGCUGGAGAUAGGAACCAACUCCCCUGAGAUCCACUAUGGAAAAACUCUUUUGCAGCCUGACACCACACCCUCAGGUCAACGUUGUUUUGGAAAGUCAACAGAAGAUGGCAGAAAGAGGAGAGCGACAGCAGCCUCACCCUGUUUGGUACAAAAGAUGUUAUCAGAAUUGAACAGCCACAUUCAAGCCAACUGAAGAAUUGUGAGCCACAAGUUAAGACAUUAUUAUGCCAGAAGAUUGUUGAUGGCCAGAAAUACUGUGUUUAUUUUUUGAGCCUGUGUAGAUUAAAGAAAGUCCACAGUAAAAUCAAACUUGAGGACCAAUUCCUGUUUUAAAACAUGCUACAUGU